rnacentral:lncRNA from 1 species
UUUCACAGCUAUCUUAUGUCUAGUGACCUUACGGGACCCCAAGGGGAAGACAGAUAAAAAAUGAUUGUUCUCGACAAGUUCCUGAAAGCAAAGAAGUCAAAUAGGCAACCUCUUGAAAUGAAAUCGCCCACAAACUGUUGCAUGCAGGGUGGCCAGCAAACAGGGCUUAUUUAUUUAUUCAUCUAUUUAUUCAUUUUACCAAGGACUCAUAGCGUGUCCCUUUCUUCAUAGAACACACACAAAGAUAAAGUCCCAUCAUCACAGUAUAUUAAUUUAGAAAGAAGGUUAUUGUGGGCAAAGAGGAGGUAACAACUAUUCUGAAUUAUUCAAUCGAUUUGAAACAGGUUUUACUGUUGUUUCAAGAAAGCGAGACAUAACUAGUGUCUGACACACAAAAAAACUAUACAUUACGUGAAAGAACAGUUUAUGAGGACAAAGACGAGAUCUCAAACUUCUGCUGUGUUUUUUAGACAAGAAUUUCAAUGACACUUCACAUCCCCUAACUAUGCCUAGAAAAGCAAUUUUGUUAAUCACUUUAGCACCAAUUCUUGCAUCCCUGGCAAUACUCAGAACUGCUUCCAUCCAAGUCUUUGAUGUGGGAAAGAAACACACACACACUCUUUCGCAUGUAAUCUGAAAACAAUUCACCUCUUGCCAAUGAAUGCACAGCACUCCACUUUAAUAGAGAGCAAGUUCUGUGGAGGUUUCUAAUCCUUUCUGCCAAAGAAGAGAAGAGAGAGAAUCACUCAGCUUCUAUUGCAGAUGUGAAGUUUAGCAUUUCUUUGCUCACUCUUUUACUGGGA